CCUAGUUUAGGUGUGUGACACUUUGUGUCCACUCACAGUUAAUUGUAUCCAUUUACUGAAAUCAUGUUAGCCGGUAAAUUUUCUAGGGACAGAGUCUGGGUAAGUGACCUGCUCCUGCACACCUUGAUCUCUCAAUGCAAACAAUGUGGAGAAAGCCAAAAGAAAUAAAGUAAUGGGGCAAAAGGCCAAAACCAGGGACAGACUUAAAAUGUUGCUUAUAUAAACUCAUAAUGUUGCUAGAAUAAACGGUGUUGCAUAAAGCUGAUUUUUCUGAAGGAUAUUAAGUCAAAAACUCAAAUGUCUGUCAUUAUUUGCUGGACUGAACUUUCAAUAUAUUUCCAGAAAACCACGUUUUGUAAAGAAGAGACCAAAAUUUGCAAAAAUCUGAACAAUCGGCGAAAUACUGCACAGCUGAGAAACCUUGAUCCGUCGUGUUACAGUACGGAAGUGGGACUAAAACCCAUUAACAAUAUGUGCCUUUGAUCGACUUAUUUUAUGCAAAGCAGAGCAGCCCUUAAGUUUAAAUACCCCCUGCUGUAGUGGAGAGUGACCGAGAUCGGCAGAGCGUUGGAUGCAGAAAUACAAGCAGUUAAAACACAGAUAUGAGGAUGUUAGGAUCUCUGAUUGUUGUUCUGUUUGCACUGCUACAAUGUGUCCGACCCGACAUCGUACUGACCCAGUCUGAGGCCGAAGUCAAACAGCCCGGUCAGUCCGUGACGCUCACGUGCACAGCCAGCGGGUUUGAUGUCAGCACUACGCGGAUGGCUUGGAUACGGCAGGUCCCCGGGAAGGGGCUCGAUUUGCUCAUCAGCUACUAUAUCUCCAGCAGUAGUAACAAUUACUACCACCCUGAUAUCCAGGGCCGGUUCUCUCCAUCCAAGGACAGCUCCAGCUUCUACCUGCAGAUGAAUAAACUGCAGGUGGGGGACACCGCCAUGUAUUACUGUGCGAGACAGUCACGGUGAAAGGAAUGACUAGAUAACGUGUACAAUAACCGUGGGUGUCCACAUCGUGCUGUUCCUGUAUGUGUGAUUAGUGUAACUCUAAAAACUGAUGUCACUGCAAUUAAUACAGUAAAGAAUGCAAUCAA